GGGGUUGUAGCUCAAAUGGUAGAGCGCUCGCUUUGCAUUCGAGAGGCACGGGGUUGAUCCCCCGAGCUCCA
rnacentral:tRNA from 1 species